UACAGAGGGGGCAAGCGUUGUUCGGAAUUACUGGGCGUAAAGGGCGCGUAGGCGGCCUUCUAAGUCGAACGUGAAAUCCCCGGGCUCAACCCGGGAACUGCGUCCGAUACUGGAAGGCUUGAAUCCGGGAGAGGGAUGUGGAAUUCCAGGUGUAGCGGUGAAAUGCGUAGAUAUCUGGAGGAACACCGGUGGCGAAGGCGACAUCCUGGACCGGUACUGACGCUGAGGUGCGAAAGCGUGGGGAGCAAACAGG
rnacentral:rRNA from 1 species